AUGAUCUCCAAGGACAGGGUCGCCACCGACACGACCAAGACCAGCGCCAUGCAGGCCUGGCCCGUGGCCACGACAGCCACUAAACUCCGCGGCUUCCUCGGCCUGACCGGAUACUACCGCAAAUUCGCCCCCCACUACGGCAUCAUCGCGAAGUCGCUGACCCAGCUCCUGACGAAGAAAGGUUUCUCCUCCAACGACAAGGCGCAACAAGCGUUCGAGUUGCUGAAGCAAGCCAUGGUGAGCACGCCCGUGCUGGCACUCCCCGACUUCGCCAAGCCGUUCGCGAUCGAGACCGAUGCAUGCGACACCGGCGUGGGGGCGGUGCUCACACAGAACGGCCACCCCGUCGCAUACCUCAGCAAGGCAUUGGGCGUGAAGAAUCGGAAGUUGUCCACCUACGAGAAGGAGUUCUUGGCGAUGAUGAUGGCGAUCGACAAGUGGCGGCCGUACUUGCAGCGCCCUUCGUUCGAAAUAGUCACCGACCACAAGAGCUUGUGUGCGCUUAUAGAUCAGCAGCUGGCUACGGACCUACAGCGGAAAGCCAUGUCCAAGCUGGUGGGGCUACAGUUCUCCGUCCGCUACAAGAAAGGCAUCGCCAAUAGAGCAGCGGACGCACUCUCCCGCGUGGGCCAUCUUCUCGCGCUCGACGCUCUCUCUCUCUGUGCCAGCCCCAAUGGCUCCAAGAGGUGGCCAACUCCUACGAAACUGAUCCUGACGCGCAAGAGCUGUUGGCCAAGCUCGCUGUCACCACCACCGACGACCAAGGUUGCACAUUGCAGAACGGCGUCAUCAGGCAGCGCGACCGGCUCUGGAUUGGCGCAAACUCUGCAUUGCAGACCAAACUCAUCGCCGUGCUCC
rnacentral:rRNA from 1 species